rnacentral:rRNA from 1 species
AUUGAACGCUGGCGGCAGGCCUAACACAUGCAAGUCGAACGAGUGGCGGACGGGUGAGUAAUGUCUGGGAAACUGCCCGAUGGAGGGGGAUAACUACUGGAAAAGGUAGAUAAUACCGCAAACCAUCGGAUGUGCCCAGAUGGGAUUAGCGAGUGGGUGGGGUAACGGCUCACCUAGGCGACGAUCCCUAGCUGGUCUGAGAGGCAGACCAGCCACACUGGAACUGAGACACGGCCCAGACUCCUACGGGAGGCAGCAGUGGGGAAUCUUGCACAAUGGGCGCAAGCCUGAUGCAGCCAUGCCGCGUGUAUGAAGAAGGCCUUCGGGUUGUAAAGUACUUUCAGCGAGGAGGCGUUACUCGCAGAAGAAGCACCGGCUAACUCCGUGCCAGCCGCCGCGGUAAUUC